rnacentral:lncRNA from 1 species
AAAAAACAUCACAGCUGCGAAAAUGAACAAUCCAAUUAGGGGUUCCCUCAAUUUUUUGACCCAUUUUUUUCACUUCUUCACUACCUCCAGCACAGCCGACUGCAGCAUCGAAAUCUUCUAUCUCCGACAACCUCUUCUACCUCCAUCUCUGACCUAAUCCAUUGGCGCAUAUUUCCACCCAUCUGUGCGACUUCCCUCAAAUUAACGAGGAAAGGGACAUUCGUUUCUUGCUUCUGCGAGAGUCGCGAUUGAUCGACCAACACCACAUCAUUCACCCACUUGCACCGUCCACAUCUCCGUUCAAAUAUGGAGUUCGAAGGAGUUGUGGACUUGACAGGGAAAGGUAUAUUUGAAACCUUUUACUUACAGCUUAGGCAGGUUAAAAAUAAAAAUAAAAAAAAUCUUUUGAUUUUUCGAAGUAAGAUUAUGAUACAAAACAAAGUAGAAUUUAGUCUCCAAAAGUAGGGAUGAAGCUGUAUUUAAAUUUGCCUCCACAACAUGUUCGUGAUUUCUGAUUUUUGUUGGGUUUUCUGAAGUGCAUUUUCUGAUUUUGUGAUUUCUGAUUUUUGUUAGGUUGGUGAAGUGCAUUUUCUGAUUUCGUGAUUUCUAUUAUUGGUUUCACAUAGAUUGUACACAUAUUAUUUGGCUGUUAUGUGUUAAUGUCUCCUUCGUGCUUCUUUCAUCUCAGGAUCAGAAAUUAUGGAAGAAAAGCACAAUGAUUUAUUGGUUGAACCUAUGAAUGACAAUGUCACAAACAGUGCGAACGAAGUUGAAAAUGAUAAGUUAGGAGGAGAUGGUAUGAAUGUGCUUGAGGUGGGGAUGAUGUUCGAUGAUGAGAAAGAAAUGUUUUGAGUUCUAUGAAAAAUAUGCUUAUGAAGUGGGUUUUCCAGUUAGGAAAUAGAAUUCGAAAAAGGGGGAUGAUGUUGUUGUGAGAUAUGUAACGUUCACUUGUAUUCGUGAGGGUAGAAGAAGUUACGGUACAACCAAUUCUUUGAAGCAACAACCAACUAGUCAAAUUGAUUGUAAACCAAGGAUCUCAGCGUCUUUAUUAAGUAAUGGAAAAUGGAGAGUAAAUACAGCCCACCUAGAGUACAAUCAUGUAACGAGUCCUUCGAAAUCUAGGCUAUACCGAUGCAAUCGAGAGUUGACUACAAAUGUCAAACAAAAGUUUGAAGUGAAUGAUAUGGCAUGAAUUCCAUUACACAAGAGUUACAACUCAGCAGUGGUGGAGCGGGUGGUUAUGAGACUAUAACUUUCAUCGAGAAAGAUUGUCCAAAGUAUAUUGAACAAGUGCAACGGUUAAGACUCGGAGAAGGAGAUGUCGCCGCAAUAUAGGCCUAUUUUUUGAAUAUGCAAGCACAGCGUUCAGGAGUUUACUUCAAUAUAGAUUUAGAUGAGGAGUCUCGGCUGAAGAAUGUAUUUUGGACAGACAAUAGGUGUAGGCAAACAUAAAAAGAGUUUGGUGACAUUCUUCGACUCUACGUGUUAUGAUAAUGAUAUAGUAAUUGGAUUUUGCCGGAAAUCUAUCUACGUGCGAUGGUAUGAAUCUAUAGUUCGGAAUUUCUAAUUUCAUAACGAAUUGCACCGAUGAUAUCUAUUGAGUUUCGAACUCAUGGGUUAAUUCCCUUCCUACAAGUUGAAUGGAUUUUCCUUGGGGUGUAGAUGAUGGUAAAAGAUGAUGUAACAUGUCAUGGAGAAGUCGAUGAUUUACAUCUUUAGUUGAUUUUGAGAUAUUUACACUUUCUUUAAAUUAGAUUCCUAUAAAUAUUGUGUGGAUCUAUUUUACAAA